AUUGAACGCUGGCGGCAGGCCUAACACAUGCAAGUCGAACGAGUGGCGGACGGGUGAGUAAUGUCUGGGAAACUGCCCGAUGGAGGGGGAUAACUACUGGAAACGGUAGCUAAUACCGCAUACCAUCGGAUGUGCCCAGAGGGGAUUAGAUAGUAGGUGGGGUAAAGGCCCACCUAGGCGACGAUCCCUCGAUGGUCUGGGAGGAUGACCAGCCACACUGGAACUGAGACACGGUCCAGACUCCUACGGGAGGCAGCAGUGGGGAAUAUGGCACAAUGGGCGAAAGCCGGAUGCAGCCAUGCCGCGUGUAUGAAGAAGGCCUGCGGGUUGUAAAGUUCUUUCAGCGAUGAGGCGUUACUCGCAGAAGAAGCACCGGCUAACUCCGUGCCAGCAGCCGCGGUAAUUC
rnacentral:rRNA from 1 species